ACUUAGGAAAAAAGAAAGAAGAUAACCCUCUCCCCUAACCCCAUUCUUUCUAACCCCAACCCUUGGAGCCAAAACCUCUCUCCCAACCACGCACCCUCCUCCCCUCACGCACGGCAUCACCCAUUCUUUCUCAGCCCUCUCUCAGUGUCUCACCAGCAACCGUUACCACUCACCAACUUCAGAGUCACCUUGGCCCACGGUGAAGCUCCUUGUUCGACAGACGACGGUGACAACUGACGACGGUGAUGAUUGACAUUGCUGACUCCUCGUUCGAUUAAUGACAGUGACGACUGACAACGAUGAUGAUUGACAAUGCUACUCUACUUCUCGGUGAUGACUGACGCUUCUCUGUUAGCCCCACCACCUCUUCUUUGCUUUUUUCUCUGGUCAUGUUCUUCUUCUUUUCCCAGAUUAAAAACAUUUUGAUGCCGGGCAUAGCGGAUCCACACAGCAGCUGGCAAAACUGCAGGGAUGACAUAAGCAAUUGGACACCUGAUCAACUAGAUGUUGUGCAAGGUGAAAAAGAAUAGAAUGAAUGUGUGUAUGUUAAUAAUAAGUAACGUGUUUGAUUUCUUCAGGGUUUAGAGAGGAUUUCAUAAAGGCGUUGAGUGGGGUGCAGAACUCUCCAUCAAAAGGAAUGUUCAUAGAUUAAAAAGCAAGAGAAAGCUUGGAGGAAGUUGUGAGAAGAGAAACAUGGGAGGAGACUGGUAUUGAAAUGGGAGAAGCUCUUAGCCAUGGCCUGCAUAGUACCAAAAGACAAUUUGAGUCCAGCUGGAUCUAUUGGAAUUUGGUUUCUUUCUCUGCUAACAUACCGUUUUGCUGUUCCUUCCCAAUAAAAGCUUCAUCAUGCUUUGGUUUUGAAUGGGGAUUCCAGCCAUGUUUUGAGGAUCUUUGACGAGGAGGCACAAGCUAUGCAAUUGGUUCGAAACUCAAGGCUUGAGCUGCAGAAUUCUACUGUACUUGGGGAAACUAUCCUUUCAUCAAUACAUGGGCAAAGGUAACACUUGAAGGAACAGGGACAAGGAACCCCUUUUCGAGUUUGACUCUGAACUUGAAAGGACCUUGAGGUGGCGUUUGCAACAAACCAAAGCUUACAAAGCCAGAGAGGAUCUCAAGGAGACUUUUGAGAAGGAUGCUGAAGAGUGCACCAUGGCCGCUAAUGGUGGAAACGUGAAUGCUGGGGAGCAAGCAAGGAGAGUGCUUAGCUCAUACACUGCACUCACUCCUGACUUCUAUGGGCGCAGUAUAGUUGGACCUACCAUUGGUGCAAAUAAUUUCUAGCUCAAGCCUCAACGGAUCACUCUGGUGUAGCAAAAUUGUCAGUACCAUGGACUCCUACAAGAGAAUCCCAACAAAUUCAUCUCUCACUUCCUGCAGAUCUGUUACACUAUAAAGAUGAAUGGAGUGAAUUCAGAGGUCUACAAGCUCAUGCGCUUCCCUUUUGUUGUGAGGGACAAAGCAAAGCAGUGGCUUGACUCGCAGCCAAAGGAAAGUUUGGACACGUGGGAUAAGGUGGUCACUAGAUUUCUAACCAAAUUUUUUCCACCUCAAAAGCUGACCAAGCUUAGGGUGGAUGUCCAGACUUUUAGACAGAAAGAUGGAGAGUCCCUUUCUGAAGCUUGGGAGAGAUAUAAGCUGAUGAUCAGGAGAUGCCCUCCUGACAUAUUUUCUGAAUGGACCAGGCUGCAGAUCUUUUAUGAUGGCCUCUUUGAGAUGGUCAAAAGGUCAUUAGAUCACUCUGCAAGUGGCUCUCUGCACAUGAAGAAGAUGUCUAAAGAAGCGAAUGAGUUUAUUGAGAUGGUUGCCAAUAACCAAUUUCUUUACAUUUUUUAAAGGAACCAUGUGAACACUGAGACUGCACAGAGGAAAGGAGCCAUGGAGGUAGACAAAGGGGAUGCCAUUUUACCUCAAAACAAGUUCAUGGCUAACAGAUUAGUUUGAUCUCUUAACAUUUGACCGGGAUGCAGGUUUCAGCUGUUAACACUCAGAUGCAUCCUUUGUCAACCCACCUUGGAGGAAGUGAAUUACAUGAAAAAUUUCUCUAGAAAUCCCAACAAUGACUCCUAUUCGAACACCUUCAAUCAGGGAUGGAGGAAUCACCCUAACUUUGGAUGGAGGGAGCAGCCACAGAAGCCUCAACAGAGCUUCAACAACAACCAGGGCAGAUCCAAUCAGAAUAGGUUCAAUAACCGACAAUUCCAGCACUCUCAACAGCAGUAAGAGUCCUCUCAAAAACAUAGCUUCUCUGACUUAGCCACAAUAGUCUAUGAACUUUCAAAACCACUCACAGCUUCAUACAAGAGACUAUAUCUUCAAUUCAGAACAUGGAAGUGCAAGUGAGUCAGUUGAGCAAGUAACAUAAAUGUGAAUCCGAGGGAAGAGUGCAAGGCCCUCCUCACGGGCAAGGAGGCCAAGCUUGAAGAAAAUCCCUCUACUAAGGAUUUGAAGAAGCAAAAGGCUCAAGAGGAGAUUGGAAGCACACUGUUGCAUGCCUCAAUGGUAGUGAAGGAGCCUGAAGUACAACAUCCUCUGAAACUGCAACAAGAGACCAAGGAUGAGCAGCUCACUCAAUUCUUGGAAAUCUUCAAAAAGUUACAAAUCAAUAUUCCUUUUGUAGAGGUGUUGGAGAAGAUUCAUCCCUAUAUGACUUGUUUGAAAAGCGUACUCUCUGAGAAGAAGGCCUUAAAGGGAGAUGAGACUGUGGUGCUGACCAAGAAAUACAGUGCAUUAGUAUAGAAGAAGCUGCCCCAGAAGAUGCCAGAUCCCGAGAGCAUCCUGAUUCCAUGUACAAUUGGGACCAUUACAUUUGAGAAGGUACUAUGCGACCUUGGAUCAAGCAUAAAUCUGAUGCCUCUCUCUGUGAUGAAGAAUCUUAGGAUCCAAGAGGUACAAUCCACAAGGAUUUCACUAGAGAUUGCAGAUAAGUCCCUGAAGCGGGCAUAUGGAUUGGUGGAGAAUAUACUAAUAAAGGUUAAAGACCUUUAACUAACUGCAGACUUUGUAAUACUCGAUACAGGAGAGGAGACAGAUGAUUCCAUCAUCCUAGGAAGGCUAUUCCUAGCAACUAGGAGAGCUCUAAUCGAUGUGGAGAUAGGAGAGUUGGUUUUGAGGCUAUGAGAGGACUAUAUAUUAUUCAAGAUUUUUAAACCUCCUCCACUCUCUGACAAAGAAGGCACUGGCGUACAGAGUUCAGAGCUCAAGCCUUCUCACAUGGUGGAAAGACAUACAUUCCUCCCUAACAUAAAACCUAAGUUUGGUGUUGGGAAUUCACCAUCCACCAAAUAUGGAGAAGGCCCCAAGAAGAAAGUACCCAAAGGCAGGAGGAAUAAGAAAAUUCCUACUGAGGACUUCUCACCUGGCAUGAGAGUAGUCUUCACUCAGAGUCCACUUAUACCACACAUUGUGAACAGAAUCCUGUCUCUAGAGCAUGUUGAGCUAAUUCAUGAGAGCAUAGGGAAGAAGUUCACAAUGAGGGGUGAAGAUCUGUGCCCCUAUGAUCCUCCUCCUUAGAGGAGUUGGUUGUUAAGCUAAUGACGGUAAAGAAGUGCUCGUUAGGAGGCAACCCUAUGAUCCUUUAGCUUAAUUCCGUUUUGAAUUUAGUUUUCCUUUAGUUUGAGUUUUUCUAGUUGAUUUUAUUUGUCAUUGAUUUUCAUAGUUUUCCUAGCUUCUCUGACGUUUGUGAUCAUG